GACUGUUUUGCGCUAUGGCAGUACGUUCGGAAGUGUUGGCUCACGUGCUGCCGAACGACUGCUGCUUUAUUUGCCAUGUCAAAGCGGGGAGGGUGGAUGAGGGAGUAAGGAGACCGAUGUAAAGGGCACUUUCUGCAGUGUCCAAGGGGCAGUUGCCAAUCAGCCAUUUAUGGAACACCUACUGUGUGUGUCAGACACUUACCGAGGUUUUGGAAUGGUCAUCUCUGCCUCCAUGAGAGUUUAUAGUCUAAAGAGGCAGAUUAACCAAGUGCCUUUAUUGCUUUUGGCCUCCCCUCCUCCCCUUCGCCAUAGAUGGAGAUUUCUCUCCCCGAACCGUGAGCCAUUUGGUCGUCCCCGCCUGGCUCUGGCGCAGAGACCGGGCGCCACGGCGUCGGUGCCAACCUCGUCUCCCAGGGGAGUGUAGUGACGGGCGCGGACCGGUGCCGCGGUCACGUGAGGGCGGAGCUUGGCGAGCGCGCGACUUCCCGCUAGGCCGGCUCUCCGCUUGCCCCCUCGGACCCAGAGCUUCAUCACCAGCUUUUAUUGGGCACGUGGCGGCUGAUGCACAAUAAAUAGGAAUGACUCUGGGCAGCCACGCUGCUUAGGUGGGGACCACACUUCUCGAGAGACCAAACUGCCCGAAGCGAGGCCUAAGAGCUGUAAGUACGUGGAAACAAGUACAAAGCUCCCUCCCAGCCGGACUUGAGGGGGACCUAGCGCCUUCUGCAAAUCAAACCAACAGGAAGCAAUAAAUCCUGGGCCUCCAGACUGAUCUGAACUAGACCUAGCAGGGAACUCCGAGUCCCUGUGGAAAGAACCUGAGAGCCACCUCUUCCUUUUAGGGCUUGGGUUUACCAACUGUGAAAUAGGGCAGCAGACUCAAUGUGCCCCUUAAGCGAGCAGGGACACAAAAUUAUUUAACUCUGCAAACAGAAACAAGCAGUCUGUAUUGGCUCCAGUAGGAGCCACUUUGAGGCCUGGGGUGGGGUCGCCUUAUGUCCCUUUCACAUCCGCUGGCUGUUCCUGAAACAAGUUUCCACAAUCACAAGGCUGGAAAAGUUACUCAGCCCAUGGGACUGAAGAGUGAGUCAGAAGAACAUGAGCUACAGGGAACUGGCCUGGCCUCCUUCGCUGGAACAAUCAGAUACCACCCUUCGCUUCCUGCCUCCCAAGAUCCAUCUCUUGGGGAGUAUGAGCCUCGUGGGUGCUAAUUCUUCAGUGGACCAAUAGCUAAACCUAGGAAACGAAGGCGCACCGGCUUCUCAACACCACUGCAUGUAGCGCUCCUUCAGGAGCUGGUCCUGGAGUUGGAAAGAAGCUGCAGAAAGGCCACCACGCCCAUGAAGAAAAAAAUCCUUCAGGAAACUCCCGUAUCUUCAAAUCCAGCUCAAAACACCUCCUCCAAGAAGCCUCUGCUGGUCUCUACUGGCUUGGAUUUGGGCGUGCCUCACCUUUGAUCCCACAGCCCACUCAUAUCCUUUCUAUGAGAUAUUUAACACAGGCUGCUGACUCAAGUGUUAACUGUUGGUUCACUUGGCUCCCCAACAAACUGAGUUGCCUGAAAGCAGAUAGAUGUACCUACCAUUCCUCUCUAAAUCUCCAGUGCCUAAUAAAGGGUUUCACACAAAGUAGGUGCUUAGUACAUGUCUGUUGCAUUUUAGACAAGAAUGGCAUGAAGGAUCUGUUAAGGAACUGGGCUUCCUGGUCAGCCUCAGAGUCCAAGGGAUGCACAGCAGGGGUACAUGGGCUAAGCCUGGAAAAGAGUGUGUUGGCUCUUUGAAGGCCCUGGGCAGGCCAAGGAGUUUGGGCUUUAUACAGUGGGCAGUCCUUGAGGUGUUAAGAUGACCAGAGCUGUGCCAAGGAUGAGAGGGCGGACUGGAGGACAGGAGGCUGGGGUGAGGGAAUAGGCAGCUCCAAUCACUCCAUCACAGUUGAUGAAACAGUGACUCAGCAAGAUUGUGGCUCUGCAACUCCAAUUCCACAGCCACACAACUGGUGUGGCAGAACUAGGAGUUGAACCAGUUCUGGACUGUGCCAAGUGCAGAGCUCUUUGUAUCUCACCACAAGGAGUAUGCAGUAAAUGGGGCUUCAGGGUUGUCCAAGUGUGAAUGGAUACUCCUUCAGUCAGGAUAGGAUAGGUUAGAUUGCAGACACAAUACUGAAAUCUGUGUGGCUUAACACAUUUAUUUUCUGUUCACACAAAGUCCACUGUGGUGCUGGACACCACCUUAAGGCAGCUGAGCAAUCCAGGCUGCUCUGAUGUACUUCCACAGUUCCCACAGUAGGGGAAGAGCACUUGGAAAUCAUGUCCCAGCUUGAUUUCUGAAGUGACACACAUUACUUGCCAUUACAGUCUCGGCCAGAACAAGUCCAGUAACCUUGCUUGACUAGAGUGACUGGGAAACAGUCUUCUGUGUGUCCAGGAAGGGGAAGAGAACAAGAGAUAUUUGUGGGCAGCAGUACUGCCUGAACUCAGGACAUCAGGGGGCGGCGCCUACAGAGAAGGAGGGGCAGGCCAAACAGUCUGAGGAACUGAUAGGAGAGGUACAAAGAGAGAGAGGCUUUGCGUAGGAUUUGCGUGUUAGGUCAGGGCUGUUCUGGUCACUCCAUGGGCAUAGGAGAGCGGAGCGUAUAUCACAUCAGUGGGUUCUCAACUGUAGCAAUGUGUCGGGAAGCUCAAGAGACUCCUAAGGACAGAAGAGAGGAGGACCUCAUUCAACAGGCUGAUGGGAGGCCUCAGUUCUGUCCCAGGCCUCUCCACAGAGCUGCUUCAGUGUCUUGGCAAGGCAUCUGCUUCCCCCAGGGCAAAUGAUGAGAGGGGUGGAAGCCAGGACUUCACCUCAGAAGUCGCAUACCAUCACUUUUGCCGCAUUUUAUUGGUCAUAUGUACCAAACGUGACUCACCGUGACAGAGGCUUGCAUAAGGACAUUAGGACCAGAUUGGGUAACUAGAGACCAGCUGAGAAGCUGCUGCCCAGGCACCAGCAGGGGAGCCUCAUCUGGAGGUUAGUGUUUUCUUAAACCCUUGCUGCCAAGCUCAUCUUUUAUCUGUGAGGUGAAGUCUGCAAUGAGCCUAAGAAGGAGGCAGGACUGGUCCUGAUCACAUUUUACAGAUGAGGAACCCAAGGCAUGAAGACGUUCUGUGGCGCCUGACUCCGAAGCGCCCUCGCUGCAGCCUGCAUGUGCCGGGACCACAGCAUUUGCCAUGCAGCGAAGGCCUCUGUGACACAUGCAUGUGGGCCUGCUUCACUCCAUCUUUGCCUCCACAGCACCCAGCAUGGGCCGGAGACAAGAGUGGCCGAAACCCUGUUAGUGAUCCCUCCUAUGGCUUCUAGCCCGAUAGCCCUCCCUGAUCCUGGGACUGCCCCUGCUUCCGAUUGUGCACCUGGAGGAAAUUUUCACCUGGUAACUCCACCUCAGACACCUUAAAGUGCCCACCCCACAGGCUAACCGCCAUUCCUUCCUGU